GACGAACGCUGGCGGCGUGCCUAAUACAUGCAAGUUGAGCGAUGAAGCUUGGUGCUUGCACCAAUUUGAAGAGCAGCGAACGGGUGAGUAACGCGUGGGUAAUCUGCCUUUGAGCGGGGGACAACAUUUGGAAACGAAUGCUAAUACCGCAUAACAACUUUAAACAUAAGUUUUAAGUUUGAAAUAUGCUAUUUCAUCACUCAAAGAUUAUCCCGCGUUGUAUUAGCUAGUUGGUGAGGUAAAGGCUCACCAAGGCGAUGAUACAUAGCCGACCUGAGAGGGUGAUCGGCAACAUUGGGACUGAGAAACGGACCAAAGUCCUACGGGAGGAAGCAGUAGGGAAUAGGCGGCAAUGGACGAAAGUAUGACCGAGCAAAGCCGCGUGAGUGAAGAAGGUGUGCGGAUCGUAAAACUCUGUUGGUAGAGAAGAACGUUGGUGAGAGUGGAAAGCUCAGGAAGUGACGGAAAAAAACAAGAAAGGGACGGCUAACUACGU
rnacentral:rRNA from 1 species